rnacentral:tRNA from 1 species
GGAGUUGUGGCUCAGUGGUAGAGUGCUUUCCUAGCAUGGAUGAGGCACUGGGUUUGAUUCUCAGCACCA